GCAUUAGUAGUUUAGUGGUAAAAUAGGCGCUUGCCAUUCGUUUCACAAUGUGAAACUGGGUGCGCCUGCCGAGGGUUCGAUUCCCUCCUAAUGCA
rnacentral:tRNA from 1 species